GUGCCAGCAGCCGCGGUAAUACGUAGGGUGCAAGCGUUAAUCGGAAUUACUGGGCGUAAAGCGUGCGCAGGCGGUGAUGUAAGACAGAUGUGAAAUCCCCGGGCUCAACCUGGGAACUGCAUUUGUGACUGCAUCGCUGGAGUGCGGCAGAGGGGGAUGGAAUUCCGCGUGUAGCAGUGAAAUGCGUAGAUAUGCGGAGGAACACCGAUGGCGAAGGCAAUCCCCUGGGCCUGCACUGACGCUCAUGCACGAAAGCGUGGGGAGCAA
rnacentral:rRNA from 1 species